GUAACUACUGCAGUUCUUUUGAUAAUAUAUAUAUUAAUAAAUUAAAAAUGUCUGUAGAUUGACAAGUGUUUUGUGGGCUUACACUGGAAAGCCGAUAGCUAAUUAUGAAAGCCUGACUUGACUAAUCAAUUAUUCAGAUGAACAUUAGGUACCUAUUAUAUGCGUAAACAGGGGAAUUAUAUUUCCCCUAAGUAACUUUCUAAAAUAACAAACCCAAAACAUGCAAAUUUUAAAUAGACAGAAAUGGCACUAUUAUGCACUUAUUGCACAUGCAGAACUCCAAUUGAAUUAUUCAGGGAACAGUGAGUCGGGAGCUUCGGUCUUCUGACUCAGAGCAGCACAGCAAUAGCAGCACAUGCCAUGUAGUAUUUGUUAUGCAUGUAAUAUUGAUUUAGCUCAUUCUUGCUGGUCAUGUUUCAAAUUCAUUUCAUGUUUAGGAGAUAGGGAAAAGGAGAAGUAUCCCUGGAUUGAUAUUUGCAAGAUAGUUUUAUGCCUGUUGAACAUAAGAUUAUUUGAUAAAUUAAUAAGACCAUGUCUUUUAAGUGUAGGAAGACUAAGCCUUUGAAAAGGAGCAUAAGUGAAGUAAUGAGCUCUGUUUUGAGAAGGUUUAUAUUUGCUACAUUCCCCAUCUCCUGUACAUAAAGAUUGGGAGAGCACUAGUAUGACAGAACAGAUUCACUGAUGUUUCUUUAAGGAACAAAACACAGCAAGGUAAUGCAUAAUUGUCCUUUGCAUUUAGAAAAGACUGUGCUCUUAAACAGCAUACAGCAACAGGGAAACCAGAAAUAGAUGUGACCAGACACCUGCUGACAAACAGUGACAAAUCCCACUGACACUGCAGUGACCCCCAGUUAGUCAAGAUUUAAUUAAGGGGUAUAAUUAAGUCAGUGGAACAGAACACUAAUGAGUGGUGUUUUUUUAUAUGGGUAAUUACACAUAAGAAUACAAAGUAAGCUAGACCCCUACAUAUAUCAUUAAAAUGAACAGUAUAGAAUGACAAUCGGGGCUUCAAGUAUUUUUUGUUCUUUCUCUUCAAUAAUGCAGGUUGAAACACCACGGCUUGUCAAGCAUCUGUACACAUGCUAACAAAUGCUAUUGGCCCAGUCCUGCCUGUGUCUAAGCAUGUUGGUAACAUGACCUUGGUGGCACAAUGCACAUCAGUACGGCUCCAUGUGAAGGGGUUUGCUGGGCUCUGUCUCUUGUUGUGUUAGCCUGCACUGGUGCCGUGCAGGGGUCGCUUGGGCUCAUUUUCUAACAAAUGACAUUCUCUUGCCAUUCUCUUUCAAGUAACACAUCCUCUAGAUUUCAUUUAUCAAGCGUGUUGAUUACAAGGAAGACAUAGGUUCCAAAUUGUUCCUAUGAUUAUCUGCACAUUGGGCACAAUAUACCUUUACAAUCAAAUGACAGAGAUUUCUUACAGCAGUGGUAUGUGAUGGCAGAUCCAGUUCUCUGGAAUUUAUUUUGGGAAUCUUUAGGUAGUUGAGUGAAAUAGCUGAAAUAUCUGUCUACGUGAUAUUUGCUUAUAUUUCAAACAGAAAAGUAUUGUAAAGUAGAUUUUCUAGACCAACAUUUUAAACUGGGGUGGAACACAUCAUCAUGAAUAAUGAUGACAAUGGUAGGGGAAAAACAACUUUCCUAUGGUCUCAAAGAUUUAAAAGAAUGCCUGUGUAGUUUGGGGCCAGCCCUCUGCUGGGAUUACUCUAUCUGCUCCCAGCUGGUAGCCUGCAGUUCAUGACAGCCUUUUAUCCGUUAUCAAAGCAACAAGUGGAAAAGCAGAUCCUCCUGCCUGCUAACACUCUGUUCAGUUCUCUCUGUAGAAUUUCUGCUCCUAAAUCUUUCCUUUUAACAAGUCCUCAGAUUUCCUUCCUACUGCUGCAGGAGAUGCUAAAUAUCUCUCAAGUUUUUAGCUCACUUGUCUAACUAAAACUCUGCAGAACACUAAAUGAAGAAACAGUAAUUGCAUUGCACCAGCACGUUUUCUACAGAAAGUGACUGAAAUGCAGAACGCACCCGAUCUUGCUUGCAGUGGAGUGCUGAGAGUUUAACAAUUGACUUAAGUGAUAGCAAAAGCAGAUCUUAAUUACUCAAACAACACUGUAAAAAUAUUUUACAACUUAAGUAAGUACAAAUUUUACUGUAGCAAAACCAAAGCAAACAAACUGCAUUGAAACUUACAACAUAUAUACUGCACUUACUUUGCUUUUUUAGCAGCACAGGAAAAAUAAAAAAGGUAGAACUAGGAGAUAUUUAAGCAUAAUUAAUGUGAAUUCUUUCAAGCAAAAUCUAUCUACUGAAACUGAAAAGUUAUUUGUUAUGAAAUCUAAAUGAAUAUAGUUUAUGUAGUGAAAAUAUACACCCUACUUUCCUUAAAUCAUGCUGUCAUGGAGUAAUAGGUCUUAGAGACAUAAUCCUAUAACAGUAACUACAAUCAGGUAAAAAUCAAGAUAACAGCAAUCUGUUAUGCAGGCUAUGCUAAACCAUAAUAUAUGUUAAGGGGUUUGGUAUUCUUUGUUAAACUCUUUGGUUUUUAAACAGAUUUCCCUGCAAUUUACAGCAGUUAUGCAAUGACAGAAGACGCCAUGGGAAUCCAGGACUUGCUCCCUCUGUGAACCGAGGCCUUUGCCACACCAGGCUCCUCCAUACAUGCCUAAGUGCCUCUUCCAGCCGGGCACAACAGACGGAACAGGUCCAGGUCCUGCUAGGGCUUUGCCCUGCCCGCAGUGUGGUCCUGUUGCAUUCAGCAGAACCAGCUCUGGGUCCUCUGGGCUUUUGCUAGGACAUGGGCAGCAAUGUCUCAUUUUCCCAUGGUGCCUGAGGUAAGUGUUCUGGAGGAGGGCCUCAGUAAAUGUAAUUUUAAGAUAUGGAGUUACUAUCUUAGUUUUUUUGCCCAAGAGCUGGAGCACAUGCCAAAACCCUAACAGAACUGUAAUAUAAUAAAAGAAGAGAGGUCAUAAAAAUUAUGUAAAUCAUUUCCCCGUUUUUAUCUUUCUGCGGGUGUGUGCCGGUAUAAAAUAUGGGGUCAGAAGGAGUGACUUCCUCCUGGGCUGCAGACACACGUCUGCAUAAUGGGUCCCUCACAUCUUCUUGUGCCCAAUUUUCGUCCCUGUGAAGCUGCCCCUUCCCAGCCGUGUAUGAAUGAACAGAAGUGCCUUUCAUCCCCCACUUGCCUGGCGCUUCAAAAGGAACUACGAAAAUAGCAGCAACAAAAAUCCAGCCGCCUGCCAAAAGGCCCGCACACGUCCCAUUCUCACAGGCAUGCGAAAGGUUGGAGAGCUCAGCAAAAUUUUUAUGUACGGGAGCAGGCCCAAGGAAAACUCACACGCCAUAACCAAUUGUGGACAGAGGAUCAUCUAUCAGCAGACAAAUGCAGGAACUCCAGAAUGUCUCUCCUCAAAUGAAAUAAUAUAUCUUUGAAAGCCAAUGCCCGUUUUAGGCCUGAGGCCCAUAUAUCAAGCCUGAGAGGCUUGUGGAUACGCUCCAGGGCCAUUAACCUUCCACCUGUUUCCCCUUGUCCUUCAGGAUGAGACCCUGCCCUUGAUUUUACUCCCUUCCCCUGUUCAUCUUCCGACAGAGUGUAAAUGUAAAGCAGAGGGCCUGCGAAAUAAUUCAAAGGCAAUGGACCAGGGACAUGGUUACAAAUCUCUGCCACUGGCACUGUGACUUAUGCAGGCAGUUUGUCACACAUGAGCCAGGUGACCUCUGUGACAUAACAGAGAAAAAUAUCGCCCGAGAUCAAAAGAUGAGAUUCAGAGCACUCUAACUAACUCUGGUGUACACAGCCACACUAUAAGGUGGCCAAGGGUUUCCUCUCCUCUGAAUGCUGCUCACUCCGCUCGCUGGCGAGUGGGACACAGUCCUGCUAAUUUCAGUAAUCUCUUUUUCUCUCAUCUCUUUGGAAAUCUUUCCUGCAACCUGCACAUCAAAAUCUGCCUCCUUCUGAAGCCUCUCUUUUUCAAAAAAGGUAAUUAAAUUGAGGAAGAGAGAAAGCAAAGUAGAUAAAAAUUAACACAUAAAAAGCAGCAUGAUUGAAAAUGGCAGAUUAAUCGAUUUUGCAAAUGAGUCUGUUUUAAUCCACUAAUUUUUGAAAUUAUAAGUAGUACUAAAACUUUGUAUGAGCACAUGCUGUCUCUGGUAUUGCAAUGACAAGUCUUCAAAGUCUAAAACAUUUAUUGGAAUUCAACUAUCACAAUGGCAAAAAUGGGAGUAGAGUUAGUAUUAAAAAUGAUGUAAUGCACCCAGAAAACACACUUCUGUACUGAUUCAUAUUUUACAAAGAGAUAUACUGCAGAACUAGAAUAACAGUCACUUGAAAUAAGCCUAAUCAGACUGAUUUAAAAAAAAAAAGUCUUGAGUUCAUUUUUCAAGCUGUGUGCUACAUAGGAAGUUUCCCAGCUGUUUUGUACAUUCAAGACUCUUCUCGGUGCAGACAAAAGAAUAAGGCCUAACCCAGCGUUUCUCUUUCACUCCCCAUAACCAAACAGUAUGUCUGGUAUGGGCAUUUAAUUUUGUCUAUUUCAUAAAUUAAAGAAAACCCACAACUGUCACAGUAUUCCUGGCACGAUGAUGAAAUGAGAAAUACAACCGUAGCUAGAUCAGCCUAAAUCCCAUUCUAAUCCUAAAUCACUUUGGCACUUGCCCACACUUAGUUGAUGAAAAACUCAGUUUGACCCAAGAAUGUAUAUGAAAAUACACAUAUACAGACACACAAAAAUUCAGCACAUUGCUUACAUGUGUGCUAAAUGUUACCUCAUCAGCUAUUUCAUUCUGUCUCGUCACAUGCUGACUUGUAAACACAGUAAAUGCAAAAUUAGUAUUACAAAAACAUUAGUGUGAAGUGUUACCACAUGCAUUUGUAAAAAUAAGACAACUGUUUGAUUUUACAGUGCUAGAAUCAUUUGUUCUUGUUCAGGCCUUGUGACUAAACACACCUUUUCCUCUUUUUAAUAUCUCUAAGGAAAGCCUGCUAGAGAUACAACAGUCAGCGGCUGCAUGUGAGUUUUGUCCGUGGUUUCAGUGAACUCCAAUUCAAAUCCCCAGUGUCUUCAUUUUCGAAAAUACCUAGUGUUACUUUUUCAUGUAAAUAUAGGUGCUAUAUCCAAGGUUUCUGGUAUUCAGAUCUUUAGCUCUCUCUUUGACACUUCUACUGAAUAUAUUAAUUUGUGUUUAGGCUGGAUAUCAUUUGGCUUUAUACAUCCUCUUUUUUCCCAUAUAUUUGAUGUAUCCCUGAAAAAAUUAAUAUUUAAUUUACAAAGCACCUAACCCAAUCCAUUGCCUUUUACAGUAAGUAUGAUCUAGUGCUUCUGCUUUUGUAAUAUUCAUGAAAUUUGGAAAUCAAGGCUAGGCAUCAAAUGUUACUAUCAUAUGCUAAUAGAGGACUUUUCAUUUGAGUGUUUGAUCAGUUUUGAAUGCCCAAAUGGCAUAUUAAAAUUUCCAAGGCAUAAACUACUUUAGGAUGCUAUUAUAUGUAUAAAAAUACUAUUAUAUGAAUAUAAUAAUUUUUAAUUUUCAUAGAUACACACUCAGAUAUGCACAAAAUUAUUUGUCUCAUUUACCUCUUGUCAUGUGUUUUUUGUGUAAAUAGCUACUGAGCAAAUAUUUUACAAAAUUAAAAGUUAAGGUACCCUGAUUCUAAAGAAGAGAAUUUGACUCUUGGUUUUAAAAUGUCUUGUCUUGAUGAAAAAAGCCUUAAAUUAAUUGGUUCACAGAGUAUACAGAUGCUACAACCCCAGUUAAUUGUAUUUUGAGCGCUUGUGCCUCCUCGAUUCAGACAUUUUAAACAAAACAAAACAAAGAGCAUUUAACAUUAACAGUAAUUUAACAAAUAAUAAUUUGGAGCAUGAAUCAUUCCCUACAUUCCUUUUCAGCUACAGACAAUUUUUGUUGGGAAAAGUGCCAUAUAGUAUCGACAGUGACAACAAAUUGUAUUGUCCGGUGAACAUCUGUUUCCGACUCCCACACUGAUACUGCAGGUUGGAUACUUCUGAUUUAGUCUUCACAGGCUGCCCGACCACAGAGGAACUGGAAAUUACUGAGAAAGAGGGAGAAUGAGAAACUCCACUGAAACUCCUGUUAACACUAAUUAGAGUUGUCAGCAUGCAGCGGAAUCAAAGGCAAAACAUGUGGAGCUCCCAGUGAAGUCAAGAGGAGAAGGGUAUUACUUAAAGGAGAGGCAUGCAAAUUAAAAAUAAAUGCUGUUCAAUGUUACCAAA